rnacentral:rRNA from 1 species
UACGAAGGGUGCAAGCGUUACUCGGAAUUACUGGGCGUAAAGCGUGCGUAGGUGGUUCGUUAAGUCUGCCGUGAAAGCCCCGGGCUCAACCUGGGAAUGGCGGUGGAUACUGGCGGACUAGAGUGCGGUAGAGGGUGGUGGAAUUCCCGGUGUAGCAGUGAAAUGCGUAGAUAUUCGGAAGAACACCAGUGGCGAAGGCGACUCACUGGCCCGAUACUGACGCUGAGGCGCGAAAGCGUGGGGAGCAAACAGG